UACGGAGGGGACUAGCGUUGUUCGGAAUUACUGGGCGUAAAGCGCACGUAGGCGGCUUUGCAAGUUAGAGGUGAAAGCCCGGGGCUCAACUCCGGAAUUGCCUUUAAAACUGCAUCGCUAGAAUUGUGGAGAGGUAAGUGGAAUUCCGAGUGUAGAGGUGAAAUUCGUAGAUAUUCGGAAGAACACCAGUGGCGAAGGCGGACUUACUGGACACAUAUUGACGCUGAGGUGCGAAAGCGUGGGGAGCAAACAGG
rnacentral:rRNA from 1 species